rnacentral:rRNA from 1 species
UACGAAGGGAGCUAGCGUUGUUCGGAAUCACUGGGCGUAAAGCGCACGUAGGCGGAUGUGUCAGUCAGGGGUGAAAUCCCGGAGCUCAACUUCGGAACUGCCCUUGAUACAGCACGUCUUGAGUCCGGAAGAGGUGGGUGGAAUUCCUAGUGUAGAGGUGAAAUUCGUAGAUAUUAGGAAGAACACCGGUGGCGAAGGCGGCUCUCUGGACCGAGACUGACGCUGAGGCGCGAAAGCGUGGGGAGCAAACAGG